UGAUCUUUUUGUUGGAGUCAUAGCAAUGUGAUCUAGUGGGGGAAAUCUGGUUUUUAAUUUAUUGUUUUAAAUGUUUUACAUGGCAUUUUAUUGUAAGCUUCCUAGAAUCAUCUUGAACAGAUGGGUGGCAUAGAAGUUUAAUAAUAAAAUUAAUAAAUAGGCUGGUCUCCUCUGAGAGAUUCAUGAAGCUGUAGAGGUUUAAUGGUAAAGAGAGGAUCAGGACAAAGCAUUUCUACUCCCAUUCCUAUUCUAUCCUCUCUUUGUGUCUGUCUUUCCAAUGCAGGGAGGAACCAGGCCAUUUAGCAGCCCCCUCGGAGUUGCAGCAGACAAGAUAGUCAGGAACAUCGUGAGGUAAAUCAAAGAGCACAUGGAACACAGAGAAGAAAAAGGUGGGAAAACGGGAAACUCCCCCUUUAUACCCACAGCAACCAAUCAUAGUGUGGAUUGCCUCGUGCAGAAGCCAGCACAACCAAUCAGCUCUUUCCCCAUUGGACACUUUCCUGUCCCAGCUACUGAAUUUAAUAUCCUACAAGACUAGGGGGUCCACAGUGCAGGAAGAAAAGGGGGGCAGAUGAGGGGCUUCUUGAGGUCCUGCAGUCAUGGAUGGAGAAGGGGCUUCUCUCCACUCUUUGGAGCCCUCUGGGAAUCCCUCCCUCCAGAGGCUGAAGGAAGACAUGGGGAGGGGGGCUUGAGCUAGGGAUCCAUAAGUACAGACUAGUAUUGGAUUCGUGUAUUUGAGGAGGAACAUUGAUGUUAUGUAACUUGUGGGGCAGAUUCUCAGCUGCUUCAAGAGCCAGUCUCAGCCCUGCCUCUGCCUUCUUUCUACCUUGGAGAAUCCCACCCAGCUGAUCCCUCUCGUGAGGAAGCCGCAGUUCUCAUGAGUAGGAUCAGCUCGGCAGAUUGGUGCUGAUCCCUCAGCCUAGGCGGUGGGAUUCCUCCUCUUGGCUCCCUCCCAGACUGACACUGCCUGCUUUUUCCCUCUCUUGGUAGCAUGAGUGGACAGUCCCAGCAUGAGGAGAGAGGAAAGGAGAAGGGAUCAAUCUUCUUCUGAAUUAGGUCGGACUCUCAGGAGGAGCCCUUCAGGCCCAUGCUGCAUGCCUGGAACCAGGAUGUAUUUGGGGGCCUUUCGCCAUUGCUUUUAUCAUUGGAUCAGUAACCUUUUGUAUUAGGAUAGAGGAACGGGGG